rnacentral:rRNA from 1 species
GACAUAGGUGGCGAACGUUAUCCGGAAUUAUUGGGCGUAAAGGGUGCGUAGACAGUCUAGUAAGUUAGCAGCGGGAAAUCGAGGCCCAACCUCGUGGAAGCUGUUGAUACUGCUAUACUAGAGUGCAGGAGAGGUUAACGGAACUCAAUGUGGAGCGGUAAAAUGUGCAGAUAUAUUGAAGAACACCAAUAACGGCGAAGGCAGUUAACUAUUCUGUUACUGACGUUGAGGCACGAAAGCAUGGGGAGCAAAAAGG